rnacentral:rRNA from 1 species
UACGUUCCCGGACCUUGCACACACCGCCCGUCAAGCCAUGGAAGCUGGGUGUACCUAAAGUCAGUAACCGCAAGGAGCUGCCUAGGGUAAAACUAGUAACUGGGCU